AUUGAACGCUGGCGGCAGGCCUAACACAUGCAAGUUGAGCGGAUGAGAGGAGCUUGCUUCUCGAUUCAGCGGCGGACGGGUGAGUAAUGCCUAGGAAUCUGCCUGGUAGAGGGGGACAACGUUUCGAAAGGAACGCUAAUACCGCAUAAGUCAUACGGGAGAAAGCAGGGGACCUUCGGGCCUUGCGCUAUCAGAUGAGCCUAGGUCGGAUUAGCUAGGUGGUGAGGUAAUGGCUCACCAAGGCGACGAUCCGUAACUGGACUGAGAGGAUGAUCAGUCACACUGGAACUGAGACACGGUCCAGACUCCUACGGGAGGCAGCAGUGGGGAAUAUUGGACAAUGGGCGAAAGCCUGAUCCAGCCAUGCCGCGUGUGUGAAGAAGGUCUUCGGAUUGUAAAGCACUUUAAGUUGGGAGGAAGGGUUGUAGAUUAAUACUCUGCAAUUUUGACGUUACCGACAGAAUAAGCACCGGCUAACUCUGUGCCAGCCGCCGCCGUAAGAC
rnacentral:rRNA from 1 species